rnacentral:rRNA from 1 species
UGGGGGAUAUUGCACAAUGGGCGAAAGCCUGAUGCAGCGACGCCGCGUGGGGGAUGAAGGCUUUCGGGUUGUAAAUCUCUUUCGCUAUCGAACAAGGCCCGCUUAGGGUGGGUUGAGGGUAGGUGGAGAAGAAGCGCCGGCUAACUACGUGCCAGCAGCCGCGGUAAUACGUAGGGCGCGAGCGUUGUCCGGAAUUAUUGGGCGUAAAGGGCUUGUAGGCGGCUUGUUGCGCCUGCUGUGAAAACGCGGGGCUUAACUUCGCGCGUGCAGUGGGUACGGGCAGGCUUGAGUGUGGUAGGGGUGACUGGAAUUCCAGGUGUAGCGGUGGAAUGCGCAGAUAUCUGGAGGAACACCGAUGGCGAAGGCAGGUCACUGGGCCAUUACUGACGCUGAGGAGCGAAAGCAUGGGUAGCGAACAGG